GACAGAGGGUGCAAACGUUGCUCGGAAUCACUGGGCGUAAAGGGCGUGUAGGCGGGAAUGUAAGUCGGGCGUGAAAUCCCUAGGCUCAACCUAGGAACUGCACUCGAAACUGCGUUUCUUGAGUAUCGGAGAGGAAAGCGGAAUACCUGGUGUAGAGGUGAAAUUCGUAGAUAUCAGGUGGAACACCAGUGGCGAAGGCGGCUUUCUGGACGAUAACUGACGCUGAGGUGCGAAAGCGUGGGGAGCGAACAGG
rnacentral:rRNA from 1 species